GAUGAACGCUAGCGGCAGGCCUAAUACAUGCAAGUCGAACGGUGUCUUCGGACAUAGUGGCGCACGGGUGCGUAACACGUAUGCAACCUACCUUACAUUGGGGGAUAGCCUUUCGAAAGGGAGAUUAAUACCGCAUAAGACAGUAGCUGGGCAUCCAGCAGCUGUUAAAGAUUUAUCGAUGUAAGCUGGGCAUGCGUCCAAUUAGCUAGUUGGUGAGGUAACGGCUCACCAAGGCAAUGAUUGGUAGGGGAACUGAGAGGUCAAUCCCCCACACUGGCACUGAGAUACGGGCCAGACUCCUACGGGAGGCAGCAGUAGGGAAUAUUGGGCAAUGGACGCAAGUCUGACCCAGCCAUGCCGCGUGCAGGAUGAAGGCGUUAUGCGUUGUAAACUGCCUUUAUACAGGAAGAAACGACUCUUGCGAGAGGCAUUGACGGUACUGUAUGAAUAAGCACCGGCUAACUCCGUGCCUGCAGCCGCGGUAAAAC
rnacentral:rRNA from 1 species